UUUACUACAAUUUUAUAAUUAAGGAAUUUUUUUCAAUAUGGGAUCCAACAAAGAUUAGCCAUUAUAAAAAACACAUUAUUUGCAUUGUGGGGAUUAAAAAAAACCGGUUCCGUGGGGAAAAUUUGCAGGGUUAUUUUUGCCGCAGCCUCGCCUUGUUUUGCAAUUUUUUAGCUAAUUAAGUAAAUGGGGUUAUCAUGCUAUGAUGCGGUAAUUCAUUCAAGAAUAAUAUUGUCUGCCGUCUGCACUCCACGCCCAACGGAUAUGAGAAAACCACGUUCACUCGAGCGAGAAUUCCUUUUCGGGCGACUUCCGCAUCCAUAUGGGUGCCAAAGUUGUGUGUGCAAAGAAUGGAAUGAAUUUCUUUAUUUACAUCGAUCUGGGUUUAAAAAUGCACAGAUGGGGCCAAAGUUCACACAGUUGUAAUGUUCCCCCCAGUUCAAUAAAUAUGCAAAUUAGGAAAAAAAAUAUUUAUUGUCUUCGUGACCCAAAUUAUGAAAUUAUAAUAAGAAGAAUUUUACCCGUUUCGAAGAAUUAGCAUGAUUGUGAAAGCCUGUGGCUUUGUACUUAUAAGGUAACACGUUUUAUUGCCUCCAUGUGACAGGCUAUUGAUUUUAUUUUACUGCGUUGCAAGUAUGACUUAAUAAAUUUCGAGUUUUUCUUUGCAAACGCGAUGAGAAAAAAGUGACGCUUUGAUUGAUUCAACAAAAAACAGAUCGUCUCAAAGGAACUGAGCUUUAAUCUCGUUAAAGGAGGAGAAACGAGUCUUGGAAUAAAUUCUCAAUGCCUUUGAUCUUGGCUAUAAGCGGAUGAUUGUUACAGUAAACAUAAAAUGGGAAAAUUCUAUUGAUAAACGUGAGUAACAGGCGGCCGUGGAAAUUUAACACUGUCACUGUUGUGAUAACUGUUGCAUGGUUACCGAUGUGCAAACUGUCAAGCUCAUCACUGUCAUGAAAAACUUAUGAUUUUGUGAUACAAUUGUGUGAAUCACCAUUUGUAGCGUGAUAGACACGUACUCGCUCAUUUGAUCAAUAUUCGCAAGUGUUAUUUUAUUUCAUGCCCAGCCCACACAUAAAAAGCAUUUUAAUAAAACAUAAUUUUUUGACUAUAUUUAUUUUGCUUUUCACUUAUCAGAAAAAUCCCCGAAAUAGAUCGAAAACCACAACUGAGAACCAAAAUUUUAAUUUUUUCGCAAUCUCGUUAAACCAGACCUGAAAUUUUCGUCCCUUUUUUGUGUUUUAACACGUUCAGUUUGAUAAUUUUCUAUUCAUUUUUUAAAUAUCAGUUAUAUCAGAGCAGACUCGAGGCACUCACCGAUCAAUACUCGCAAGAAAUUAGAAUUUCUAAGGAAAAAAAUGUUUUAGACAAUGUUUAGACUGAAAAAUCACAUUACGGUUUAUUUUAGCACCUUUCCUUCGAUUGACUUUAAAAAUACGACGUAUUUAUUUAUAGUCAAAUUUAGCUGAAGCGGAGGUCAGUGUCCGGAUGACGCUCCAGUUGGCCGUAAAAUUCGCAAGAGGCGAACGUCUAACUUUCAAAAAACGGUACAUUGUCAUAACAAUUCGUUAGAUAAUUUAUUUAUUUUUAACCCAGUUACGUAUUCGAUGUAAUCUUAACAAACUCCCGACGCGUUCGCUUAAUUUGCUUAUCCGAAAUCUUGCAUAUUUCUCCUCGGUCAAGAUCAAUAUUUCCGUGAUGGUUGAGUCACACAAGGAUCGGGACUUUGAAGGUUAAUAAAAUGCAAUGGGUUGUUAAGUAAUGGCAGCGACCGUUUUAAUGCCUACUUAUAAAACAAAGAGACGAAAAAGCAACAAAAAGUCAGUCUUGAAUAAGUUAAGUAAUGUAUUCGAAUAUAAACGGGAAUGUACAAAACAGUAAUACAAGGGAGAGAAAAAAAUUUAGAUUUUUAAUUGAAUAAAGCAGCAUUUUAGUUCUCGUCAACUUCGGCUUCUUGUUCCUCGUCGAAUUCGGCGUCUUCAUCGGCGGUCGCCUCCUGGUACUGCUGGUACUCGGAGACCAAGUCAUUCAUGUUUGAUUCGGCUUCAGUGAAUUCCAUCUCGUCCAUACCUUCGCCGGUGUACCAAUGCAAGAAAGCCUUACGUCUGAACAUAGCAGUGAACUGUUCAGAGAUGCGCUUGAAGAGCUCUUGGAUGGCGGUGGAGUUGCCGAUGAAAGUGGCCGACAUUUUGAGACCACGUGGGGGAAUGUCACAAACGGCCGUCUUGACAUUGUUGGGGAUCCACUCAACGAAGUAGCUGCUGUUUUUGUUCUGGAUGUUGAGCAUUUGCUCGUCAACUUCCUUCAUCGACAUCC